rnacentral:rRNA from 1 species
UACGGGGGGAGCAAGCGUUGUUCGGAUUUACUGGGCGUAAAGGGCGCGUAGGCGGCGUGACAAGUCACUUGUGAAAUCUCCGGGCUUAACUCGGAGCGGUCAAGUGAUACUGUCGUGCUAGAGUACAGAAGGGGCAACUGGAAUUCUCGGUGUAGCGGUGAAAUGCGUAGAUAUCGAGAGGAACACCUGCGGCGAAGGCGGGUUGCUGGGCUGAUACUGACGCUGAGGCGCGAAAGCCAGGGGGGCGAACGGG